UUGGUGAGGUAAUGGCUCACCAAAGCGACGAUCAGUAGCCGACCUGAGAGGGUGAUCGGCCACAUUGGAACUGAGACACGGUCCAAACUCCUGCGGGAGGCAGCAGUGGGGGAUAUUGCACAAUGGGCGGAAGCCUGAUGCAGCAACGCCGCGUGAGCGAAGAAGGUCUUCGGAUCGUAAAGCUCUGUCCUGGGGGAAGAAACAAAUGACGGUACCCCGGGAGGAAGCCCCGGCUAACUACGUGCCAGCAGCCGCGGUAAUACGUAGGGGGCGAGCGUUAUCCGGAAUUAUUGGGCGUAAAGAGUACGUAGGUGGUUUGGAAAGCGUGUGGUGAAAUUGCGGGGCUUAACCCCGUCCAGCCAUGCGAACUUUCAGACUUGAGUGCAGGAGAGGGAAGUGGAAUUCCUAGUGUAGCGGUGAAAUGCGUAGAUAUUAGGAGGAACAUCAGUGGCGAAGGCGACUUCCUGGACUGUAACUGACACUGAGGUACGAAAGCGUGGGUAGCAAACAGGAUUAGAUACCCUGGUAGUCCACGCCGUAAACGAUGAGCACUAGGUGUCGGGGUCGCAAGACUUCGGU
rnacentral:rRNA from 1 species